UAGGGAAUCUUCCACAAUGGACGCAAGUCUGAUGGAGCAACGCCGCGUGAGUGAAGAAGGUUUUCGGACCGUAAAGCUCUGUUGUUGGUGAAGAAGGAUAGAGGUAGUAACUGGCCUUUAUUUGACGGUAAUCAACCAGAAAGUCACGGCUAACUACGUGCCAGCAGCCGCGGUAAUAUGUAGGUGGCAAGCGUUGUCCGGAUUUAUUGGGCGUAAAGCGAGCGCAGGCGGAAGAAUAAGUCUGAUGUGAAAGCCCUCGGCUUAACCGAGGAAUUGCAUCGGAAACUGUUUUCUUGAGUGCAGAAGAGGAGAGUAGAACUCCAUGUGUAGCGGUGGAAUGCGUAGAUAUAUGGAAGAAUACCAGUGGCGAAGGCGGCUCUCUGGUCUGCAACUGACGCUGAGGCUCGAAAGCAUGGGUAGCGAACAGGAUUAGAUACCCUGGUAGUCCAUGCCGUAAACGAUGAGUGCUAAGUGUUGGGAGGCUUCCGCCUCUCAGUGCUGCAGCUAACGCAUUAAGCACUCCGCCUGGGGGAGUACGACCGCAAGGUUGAAAC
rnacentral:rRNA from 1 species